AUUCUGGGGGGGGAAGCCUGUCCUGCUUCUGAAGUAGGGUAUGUUAGGAACCCUGCUUCAUAACAGUUUCCUGUAGCGGGGCCGGGGGAGAACCUUUUGAAUGUUUAAUCUCAAUAGUAUACUGUAAUGAUAAUAUAUGUAGCACCAUUCACGUACAUGGCAAUAUUUACAAGUAAUGAGAAGAAAUGACACUGUCCCAGUGGGCGCACAAUCUGCAAUCGACAUAGGAAGACGACAGGUCUCGUAAGAGCUGUUCAACAGUGGAUCGGUCUGCCAACUGCGGUCGUGAGCUUUCUGUCGCUGGAGGGUUUCUAACAGAGGCUGGAGAACCAUCUGUCAGGGUCCAGGGAUGCUAUCACCGUUUCUUGUACUGAGUAAGGGUUAGACUAGAAGACAUCCAAGAUCCUUUCCAGCUGUAAAAUUCUAUGAUUCUAAGGGGAGGAAAAUGGAAGUAGGGAUAAGCUCGGGAAGAAUAUGCGUCCAUUUCAUAUUCACAUGCUUAAGCUUAGUAUAGUGUGUGUGAGGACUGUCUGGCUAGUCACUUUCCAGGAAAAGAGGCUUGAUGGGGUUGCCUUCUUCCCUAGCCAUGCCAGUGGUGACUCCAGCACUGCUUUUGCUACAUAAUUGUUCCUAAACAUUGCUGACUUGAUGGCAGUUAAAAUCCUAGUAGUAGUAGGGGACUUGACUUUCUCCAUCAUCAAGGUGAAUGACACCUCUGGUGGCUUCUGUGACACAGAUCUGCCCAGAGACAUUGUCAAAAGAGAUCUGAUUGUUCUUACAACGAAAUAGCUGCAGUUCAAAUACAUUCAGUAGCAUUGCUAUCUAAAUAGGCAGUGAGAAGAGCAGAAGCAGAACAAUGACAUGUCCGUGUGCAUGUGCAAUUCUGCUCAAGCCAGCAUGAUGUAGUGGUUAGACUAGGACCGUAGUGGACUAGGACCUGAGAGAUCCGAGUUCAAAUCCCCAUUCAGCCAUGAUACUUGCUGGAUGACUCUGGGCCAGUCACUUCUCUCUCAGCCCAACCUACUUCACAGGGUUGUUGUGAGGAGAAACUUAACUAUGUACACCACUCUGGGCUCCUUGGAGGAAGAGCGGAACAUAAAUCUAAAAUAAAUAAAUAAAUGUAAUAACAUGCAUGUACACUAAGAAUCACAAUACAUCCCUAGAUAUAUUUCAUAUCUAGGAAGAUGGGUGAAGGAGAUGGAGCCUUUAGAACUCUAGUGCACAUGUGCAUGUACUAACAACAUUAUAAGAUGUCAUUUACCCAAAAAGUAAAAUAGGAACAGUGAUUUAUUGGGUAUAGGGGCCAUGGCGAGGGGAAAGCUUUCAAUCUGCAUCCCCCCACCUGUGGCUUUGAUCCUGAUUAGGUUGCCCCAGAAACUGCUAUUGUAAAAAGCAUGUAAGCCCUAAUGAGGGUUUAACAUGACUUGUAGUUUGGCUCUCAGAAAAAGAGACUUUAUGAAAGCUGAAGACCGACAACAGUUUUUAAGAGAGUUGAAGGUGAUAUAAUGAAGUUGUUUUCCAUUGUAUACACAGUUGUCUUACUGCCAUUUAGAGUCAAGUUUUAAGUUUUUGAAGAACCAGGAAAAAAUUACAAAACCAAAUAAUGUGGUUUUCAGGGUCAAAGUUACCUAAGGUAACAGGAACCAUAGGUUCAUGUGCCAAACACUUUGAUUAACUAUCUCAUUACACUGUCCCAAGUAUAUAUCUUCCUCAGGAUACUAGAGUCAAGGAUCAAAUCUUGAACUUUAUGUAAGUUAAUCCUGUAUCUUUCUGCUAAGAUAUAGCAAAACCUAAGAAGCAAUGUGCCAAUCCAUGAAGCUAAGUGUGGGGAUUAGCAAAGGAAGUGAAUUGGUGUGGGGGGGGUGUGUGUGUGUCCUGCACUCACCAACCACCUCCAGCUGAUCUCUGACCAUGGUCACUGCCUGCCUCACCUAGCAGCUUACUAUCCACUGUUUCUUCUUCUCUUCAUUCUCUUCCUACCAGUUCCUGCUGGGUUUUAAGAAGGAAGAGGGAGUAUGGAAGAGGUCUAGAGUGCCUUCUGGAAAAUGUUCUAGGCUAUACUUCCUCUUCCUAAAAAUCCAGCAAGAAGCAGUAGGAGUAGGCCAUGCAAGGGGAUGACACCUUGUUGUCCCACCUCAGGUGCUGACCGGGGUGCUUAGGCUGGUCAUGCUUAGGGGCCCUUCAGGGCUAGGCUACAUGACUGAGAUUUCUGAGCAUGAUGUAUGGAGUUGGAAAAGAGGACUUUCAUGGGCUAAGGCCCUUGGAAACUGCAGGUGCCUCAUCAUGGGCCUUGCCUUUGUCUUCGCCUGUGUGGUUGUGAAUGUUGCUCUGAGAUGUAGGGCUACUGGGUUCUGGUACUGUUAACACUUCCUUUUUCUGUUUGAAAUUGUUGCCAGCAUGAUGGCUAAAAUGUAAAAUUUGCCUUUUGGAGGCCACAUUCACAUUUCCCAGGAUAGGAAUCAAAUCCAUUUCCCCCAUGGAUUUUGCCCUUGCCUAGUGUUCUCUUCUGUGAGCUUGCUGCUAUUUCCCUUUGUCACCUCCCCUUUCCCUUGAAAAUGGUUUGUUUCCCUCCCAGAAUCAAAUACAAGUGUGUUAUUUAAAAAAAUUGCAUGGACACAUUAUUUCCACAGCAGGAUGUAGAUCCUUGCCUUGGGAAGCUGCUUGGUUCUCCAUGCAGACUUGACUUCCUAACAAUUCCACCAUGUUGGCUUGUGCAGAAGAAUUGCUGAGGUCUCUUUCUUACUCCCUGACUGUGCACAAUAUAUGAGCAGGGAUGUGUGUACUGUGUUUGGUGAUGACAUCAUGGGAUUAUUUGGUUGUUGCUGCACAGUGAUUGGUGACCUCUGUGCAUGGGCUAUAGCUAAUAUGACAACUGGGCAAAAAGGUCAAAUGAUGGUAAGAGAGAUAGCACACCCCAACACCAGAUAAGAGACUCAGCAUAUAGGUGUCUAUAUACCAUGCCAGAAGCCUCCAAGCAAAGAUGGGUGAGCUGGAGUGCUUGGUUACUUGGUUACUAAUGAAAACAUAGAUAUAAUGGGCAUAAUGGAAACCUGGUGAAAUGGUGAAAACCAGUGGGACACUGUUAUUCCUAGACAUAAGCUCUACAGGGAGGAGAGGACUGGGGAGGAGUAGCACUGUAUAUUAAAGAAGGGAUAGAUUCCAACAAGCUAGAAAACCUAGGUGGACCUGGAGUCCUCCACAGAAUCAUUAUGGGUGAUAAUACGAGUGCUUAUGAUUGAUUGCAACCUUAGUUAUUUCUCUCUACCUGAGCAAAAAGUGAGACCCCCCCCCUUCUAUUAUUCCUUUCUGUCUCAGCCACUUAAGCAGGGGGUUUGGGAAUAACCAUUUAUCUGCAAAUUUCCCAAUAUAUAUGCAAAACCAGGAAUAACUAAAUCAUGUAGGAAGCAGAAAAAAGAAAAAAUUAGUACUGAUGUCACUUAGGGAGGUAACUAGUGCUAGAAAAUAAAUGUAGGUGAAGUCUUAGCAUAACAAUUCACCUUGCACAUUUUAAUUUAUUUUAUUAUGUUUUCAUCAUAUGGGCAUGAGCCUCCUAUCACCAAGAUUUGUUAAUCCAAAGUUGUUUAUUCAAGAUUGUAGGCACUAGUUACAUUUAUCAAAUGAAGCCUUUUGAGCUACCGUAUCCAUGUACAAGUAUUAGUUUCAUUAAUUUUGCUAUUACUCGAGGAAUUCUUCCCCUGCUGCAAAUUUUUUCAUCUAAAUUCUAUACUUUAUCGCCACUACACAGAAUAUAAUUAAAUCAGAAACUAUCCAGUUACCACAGCAGGGUGUUUUUUUGUUAUUGUUUCAUCUGUACAGUCCGCAUUACAAAACAUAAACAUACAGAAGCUGGUUUUAUGUACAAUGGAUUAAAGUAUGAUCUUUAACCUUUUUCUGAUACCAUGACCUUUAAAUACACACUAGUGUAAUUUGCUGAUACUCGGGCAUGAAUCUGGGGCUUUCUGCCAAAUUUAGCAAAUAAGAGAGUAUGCUUUUGAGUUCUCCAGAAUUCUUCUUCAGGAAGGAUGUUAAAACAACAUCCAGAGGGAACAGAGCAGAGGUAAUAGUUGGGACUAAUUUUAAAAAGGCCGCAGUUUAAGACUUAAAGAAUGCAGGUGGUUUUAUGUGGACGACCAGCAUAAUCCUUUGCAUGUGCAUUUAGAAAUAAAGUAAACAAUAUUCAACAAUAUUCCCUCUAUGCUCAAUAGGCCUUCCUAUUGAAAGUCCCACUAUACAGUAAGUCCCACUUUGUUCAAUAGGCCCUCCCAAGUAAAUGUACAUAGGAUUGAUCCCUUAAUUUAGAGUAGCUUCUGCUAAGUGCAAGACAAGUUUGAGUUUGCAUAGCAGACUACUAAAACAAAAUAACAAAAAUGGAUAAUCUCCCAUAAGAUAAUAAUAAUAAUAGUUAGGAAUAUAGGAAGCUGCUAUAUACCAAAUCAGACCAUUGGUCCAUCUAGCUCCGUAUUGUCUAAACAGAUCUACCUAUUUUCUCAAGCUUUUAACUGUAUUUUUUAAAAAGUUUUUAUCUUUUGAGAUUGUUUUUACUUGUUUUGUGAAUUUUAACGGUUUUAUAUUAAUUAUGUUUUAACUUUGUAUACCACCUAGAGAUUCUGUAUCGGGUGGUAUACACAGACUGGCAGUGGCUUCUCCAAAGCUGCAGGCAGGAAUCUCUCUCAGCCCUAUCUUGGAGAUGCCAGGGAGGGACCUUGGAACCUUCCAUUUUCCAUGAAAAUGAAGGUUGGAAAAUUCAGGACUGACAAAAUGAAAUACUUUUUCACAUAGCGCAUUAUUAAUCUAUGGAAUUCUCUGCCACAGGAUGUGGUGAAGUCCACUAGCUUGGAUGGCUUUAAAAGGGGCUUAGACAAAUUCAUGAAGGACAGUUCUAUCAAUGGCUACUAGUCUGGUGGCUAUAGACCAUCUCCAGCCUCAGAGCAAGAUGUCGCUAAAUAUAAGUUGUAGGGAAAGAACAACAGGAGAGAGGGCAAGCCCUCACCCUCUGCCUGUGGGCUUCUCAGAGACAUCUGGUGGGCCACAAAGUGAAACAGAAUGCUGGACUAGAUAGGUCUUGGACCUGAUACAGCAGGGCUGUUCUUGUGUUCUUAACCUCAGAUGUUCUUCCCAGAGCAGCUCCAUCCCCUAAGGAGAAUAUCUUACAGUGCUCACACAUGUAGUCUCCCAUUCAUAUCCAAGCAAGAUAGACACUGCUUAGCAAAGGAAACAAGUCAUGCUUGCUACCACAAGACCAGCUCAGGAUCUAUCUCCACUGAAAAUUACUUUAAAAGAAAAUUAUUAUAAGAUGAUGUACAGGUGGUAUUUGACACCCAAAAAAUUAGCAUUAAUGUAUAAAAAUGUUCCAAGUAAAUGUUGGAAAUGUGGACAUUGUGAAGGAACUUUUUUUCAUAUGUGGUGGUCUUGCGGGAAGGCAAAGGCCUUUUGGGAUAUGAUAUAUAAUGAGUUGAAGAAAAAAAUUUUAAUGACAUUUCCUAAGAGGCCAGAAUCCUUCCUGCUGGGAAUAACCCAAGGAUCGUUUUCCAGAAGAAAUUUAACAUUUUUUAUGUAUGCAACCACGGCAGCCAGAAUAGUAUAUGCACAGAAAUGGAAGGACAAUGAAAUGCCCUCAAAAGAAGAUUGAUUGAUAAAAAUUUUGGAAUAUGCUGAGAUGGCAAAACUUAUAGUACUGAUAAGGGAUGAAAACUUGGAAUCUUUUAAAGAAGAUUGGAAACCAUUCUUACUAUACUUAAAGAACUAUUUUUCUAAUAUGGACUUUUCAGCAGGGUUUGAAAUUUAGUAAUAAUUAGCAGGUUGGGUAGAGUAAAAUCAAGUUUGCAAUGUGUAGGAUAUAUGUUUUGAAUUACUAUAGCAAUGAUUGACUUGUAUAGUUAAUGAAUCAUGCAGAUUGAUGAGCGGGAAGUCUAUAUUUACUUAAUUAGAUGUAACAGGAUUGUUAAGAUAUUGUAAAAACCAAUAAAAAUUUUAAAAGGGGAAAAGAUCUAUCUCCACUGAAUUGAACACAUGCAUCUCUUGGAAAGCAUAAAGCAGUAAUAAAGAUAAAUGUAGUAAUCUUUACCUUGGUUGACCUGUUUCACCAGGGUAAAGAUUUUAGGUGAUACUCUAAUUUUAGGUGAUACUUGACUUUUCUAAUAAUUUAACUCUAAUAAUUUUAGGUGAUACUCUAAUUAAUUUUAGGUGAUACUCUAGGUAAAGAAUUGGGUAGUUUUGGAGAACUCGAAAACUUGCUUCUUAGAAGCCAGACUCCCCAAAGUCCACUUGAGUCUGACUCAUGUUGCAAGUAGAAACUUGUGUAUUAUAUCUACAUUUAUUCAGGUCACAUUUCUGAGUUACUACUAAUAAGCACUGCAUUGAGUGAUGAGGAUGGGAUCAACAUCAAAACAAUGGAAUAUAUCAUCCAUACAAUUUGCAAAAAGAACACAGAUUAAGCUCACAGGACCAUACUAAAAGAAAAGCUUGCAUAGAUGACUCAUUCAAAUAAAAGCAUUUUACCUUCAUGUAUACCCUCCAAUAUUUCACUAAUGAAAAUAGGGACAUGCCUGUGAACAUGUAAGGUGCAGGACCAACCAAUCUGGGAGCUGUGGUGUAUAAUUUUGACUACAAGCAUGCUACAAAUGGCACGUGUGCAAGUAGAUCACAUUAUUUCAGAUUACCAAAGCUAUGGGCCAUAUUGCCUUAAUAUUGUACAUUCAUUUCACAUGACUGUUGUGAGGACUAUUUUAGCAAAAAGUCUGGGAUGGGGGGAAGAGCUCCAAUUAUACUAGCUUACCUUGGAAGCAAGAAUGGGGUCUCAGUACCAUCUAGAGAUGAUAUAAAAAUCUGGAGUUCCUCUUUUAUGUUGGGCCUCAACCCAGCUUCCUUGGGUUGGCUCAACACAUGGUACCAUAUUGUAGACCAGAGCUGCACAACCUUGGCCCUCCCACAGAUGUUAGACCUUGGGCCAAAGCUGUGCAGCUCGGCUGUAGACUGUACAGAAGAACCUUAUUAUUUGCAGAACAGCUAUUCAUGGUUUGGGGUUUUAAAUUUUUUCCCCUCCACCCUGGAACCUAACCCCACUUUCCCCAUAGGCCUAAUGCCUCGUUACUCACAGUUUCAUCACUCGCAGUAUGGAAACCCAAAAUGGAACGCCAGAAAAGGAAUUGAUCCCCCACAAGUAACGAGAUUUUUGGGCAAAGAGCAAUCUGUGGGAUUGUGCCCCCACCUCCAUCCCUGGCUGUGCAUAGAACUUUUAAUUAUGUGAACCAUACCGGCUCACACAAAUGACUAUGUGAGUUGGCCCCACCCUGUGCAGGAAAAUUGUAUCACCUAUAGAAUCCCCUUUAUGGAACUCAGUGACUGAAGGCAGCUUCACCAUUCAACCUGUCAUAUUAAGAGCGUUCUCUGUCUAUUUUGUUUGCUGAUUCAAUUUCUUAACUAAAAAAGCAUAAUUUUACUAAGUGAUUUGCAUUUUUCUAUCUAAGAACUGAAUUGCUAGAAAAGAAAAAAGUCAUCAGGAAUAUAAAUAUUAACAUUACUGAGAGACAGAAGAACUGUAGAGGCUUUAAGCAGUAUAAUUUAAAUGCACCUCCUGCCAUCUUUUCAAUGGUAACACAACAUGGAAGUGUUUUUUAAUCACUGUGCUCCAGGCUUCCACUUGAAACAUCCAGCUGACAUGCAACUUGAAACAGUUUUGCCAUACAGUCUGUGGAAAGCUUAGAAUUCUUUUUAUUCCAAACAAAACAGAGGAUUAAAGGUGAAAAGAUAUUGUUUGCUUUGAAAAUAAGAGGUCUAAAAUAACUUAAAUGGGUGAUAGUGUGUAUUUAUUUAUAGAGCUUCCAAAUCAUAGAGAGAAAAUUUAGUACCGUACUAAGCGGAAUGAAAAAAGGUUGUUCUUAGGUGUGCUGAUGAAUUCCUUGCCAAGACAUCUGAAAAACAUAGUAAAGGCUGUGAAAGUGCAGAAAAUGAGGCAUGCACUGCUGUUUCUGUCCAUGCUAUGUCACCUAUGCUAUGUCUAUAUACCUGUCACCCAUUCUUUUCUGCCUACCAUUCAUGUGUGUGCCAAACAGGGAAAUAGUACUCUUUGUUAGGGAAAGCAACUAGGAUACUACAUUUCCCUUGGUUUCCCCUACCACCUGGUUAAGAAGUAGAAGACAGCUGUAUGCCUCCCCACCCCAGUACACAAUGGCCACCUUCAGACAUAAUGGCAAACUGCUGGUCCAAUCGACUUGCAGUUUGCCUCCAUUCCCCCAGCACACUCCCAGACAAUUGCAAUCUGCAGUCUGGGAGACUGCAAAGGGGGAGGAACUGGUUGCAUUGGUUUUCUCCAAUACAUGAAGGAAAGCCAUGGCAGCCAAUUGCUUUGCAGAGAGCGGGGAGCUUACAACACUUAACUCCGGUUUGUGCAGCUUGACAUGUUGGAGCCUCCGGAAACUAGGUUUGGUGAGUUCACCUUAAUUCAAACCAAGAGUUCUAUUGGAGGUUUGGGGGAGGAAUUGGAACUGUGGUUGGGUCUGGGAACCACAGUUCCGAUUAUUCAGAUGUCAUGGAGGGCCAACCUGAGGUGGGUUUGCCUCAGGUUUUCCAUGACGUCAAGAGACAGCCAUAUAUUUGUGCUCAAUUUUCGCCUUCUCCAGAGGUUAUGUUCCACAUGCUCAUUGAACAUAAGUAGAGGGAAACAGGAGCAUGCUAUUUAGCCACAGCCUGCACACCAACAUUUGCACUGACCAUAUUCUCCUUAUGUUUUCUCAUUCAGCAUUUGUCUGCAGAAGGCAGAGUAGAAUACGGGGGGAUUUUCCACAUGUGAUUCAGAACCAAAUGCUGCACACAAAGAUGUGUUCAUCAGGCAUGUCCGUGUGGAAGGUUUUCUGGAGACUGCCAGUAUUUCCUGAAGUGCUGAAUCUAAGAAAGGAGGAGCAGCCACACCAUUAGGUGGAGAUGAUCCAUACUGGGGUUGACCAGCUGCCUGUCCUGUAGAGUCAGGAGAUGUGGCGAUCAAGGGAGUCAAAAUGGUCUAAGAAUCAACGCUGAAGAAUCCGCAUGUGGAGAUGGGCAUGAGGAAGUACGGAGGUGGCUGAUGCCCCAAGGCCUAAGAUCCAUUGUACCCUUCUGGCUGGGUGGCAGCAAUUGUGCGAUAUGCAAAGAACCAGAGAGGUGUUGUCCACAUGGUCUGGAGGUAGAGAUGCUUAUUGAGUCGAAUUGAAUGCCAAUAAAACGGAUGGUUUUUGUCGAUUUCAGAUUGGACUUUUUGAAAUUCAAAACAUGAAAUAUCCUUUGCAAUUUCUUAUUAAAAGUUUCAGUGAUGAAAUUAGACAUUU